rnacentral:rRNA from 1 species
GAUGAACGCUGGCGGCGUGCCUAAUACAUGCGAGUCGAGCGAACGGACGAGAAGCUUGCUUCUCUGAUGUUAGCGGCGGACGGGUAAGUAACACGUGGAUAACCUACCUAUAAGACUGGGAUAACUUCGGGAAACCGGAGCUAAUACCGGAUAAUAUUUUGAACCGCAUGGUUCAAAAGUGAAAGACGGUCUUGCUGUCACUUAUAGAUGGAUCCGCGCUGCAUUAGCUAGUUGGUAAGGUAACGGCUUACCAAGGCAACGAUGCAUAGCCGACCUGAGAGGGUGAUCGGCCACACUGGAACUGAGACACGGUCCAGACUCCUACGGGAGGCAGCAGUAGGGAAUCUUCCGCAAUGGGCGAAAGCCUGACGGAGCAACGCCGCGUGAGUGAUGAAGGUCUUCGGAUCGUAAAACUCUGUUAUUAGGGAAGAACAUAUGUGUAAGUAACUGUGCACAUCUUGACGGUACCUAAUCAGAAAGCCACGGCUAACUACGUG